UACCAGCACCCCGCGUGGUCGGGACGAUUAUUGGGCCUAAAGCCUCCGUAGCCGGUUUUACAAGUCCUCCGUUAAAUCCAGCUGCUUAACAGAUGGGCUGCGGAGGAUACUAUAAGACUAGGAGGCAGGAGAGGCAAGCGGUACUCAGUGGGUAGGGGUAAAAUCCGUUGAUCCAUUGAAGACCACCAGUGGCGAAGGCGGCUUGCCAGAAUGCGCUCGACGGUGAGGGAUGAAAGCUGGGGGAGCAAACCGG
rnacentral:rRNA from 1 species